GUGUGCUUGAUUCAUCUACACAUUUAUUAGAAUUGGAAUGAUACAAGGAAGCUUAGCAUGACCCCUGCACUGGGAUGGCACUCAAAAACAAAAGAUGUGAUGGAAUGCA
ensembl:snRNA U6 U6 spliceosomal RNA